rnacentral:rRNA from 1 species
AAGGAUCAUUAAUGAAUUCACUAUGGAGUUGUUGCUGGCCUCUAGGGGCAUGUGCACGCUUCACUAGUCUUUCAACCACCUGUGAACUUUUGAUAGAUNUGUGAAGUAGUCUCUCAAGUCGUCAGCCUUGGUUUGCUGGGAUUUAAACGUCUCGGUGUGACUACGCAGUCCAUUUACUUAUACACCCCCAAAUGUAUGUCUACGAAUGUCAUUUAAAGGGCCUUGUGCCUAUAAAACCAUAAUACAACUUUCAACAACGGAUCUCUUGGCUCUCGCAUCGAUGAAGAACGCAGCGAAAUGCGAUAAGUAAUGUGAAUUGCAGAAUUCAGUGAAUCAUCGAAUCUUUGAACGCACCUUGCGCCCCUUGGUAUUCCGAGGGGCAUGCCUGUUUGAGUGUCAUUAAAUUCUCAAACUCACUAUUUGUGAUGUUUGGAUUGUUGGGGGCUGCUGGCCUUGACAGGUCAGCUCCUCUUAAAUGCAUUAGCAGGACUUCUUGAUUGCCUCUGCGCAUGAUGUGAUAAUUAUCACUCAUCAAUAGCACGCAUGAAUAAGAGUCUGGCUCUCUAACCGUCCGCAAGGCAAAUUUGACAAUUUGACCUCAAAUCAGGUAGGACUACCCGCUGAACUUAA